rnacentral:misc_RNA from 1 species
GAUGAAGAACGCAGCGAAAUGCGAUAAGUAGUGUGAAUUGCAGAAUUCAGUGAAUCAUCGAAUCUUUGAACGCACAUUGCGCCCGCCAGUAUUCUGGCGGGCAUGCCUGUUCGAGCGUCAUUUCAACCAUCAAGCCCCCGGCUUGUGUUGGGGACCUGCGGCUGCCGCAGGCCCUGAAAACCAGUGGCGGGCUCGCUAGUCACUCCGAGCGUAGUAAUACAUCUCGCUCAGGGCGUGCUGCGGGUUCCGGCCGUUAAAAAGCCUUAUUUACCCAAGGUUGACCUCGGAUCAGGUAGGAAGACCCGCUGAACUUAAGCAUAUCAUAAGCGGAGGA